GAAAAUUAAUUUAUUCAUGAUUUGCAUGCAGACUGAAAAAUGCCUCGGAACGUCUCGUAAUACAGAUCAGAAGGCAUAUAUAUAUGCAUACACAACCUUACAGUAUAGUUCAUGAUUAUAUCAGGAUUUGUCAUUCACAGUAAACAUGUCGAUGCAAAGAUUUCAUCUAACAUUCAUCAACUAAACCCCCUCCACCCCAACUUCCCCUCAAUCCCAUUCGGCUUUGUGCUGGAACAAAAUUUCCUUGAAAUCAGCAGAUCGGGAUUACUAUCCUCUCGAGGCGACACUUCUUUCAGUCACCCUUGAUGGGUCUUUGGAAACUAGAAUGAUUUCUAUUAUAAUUAAUCAGGCAUUUACAUGUAACUACACUCUGCUUGGUCCAUUAACCUACUUGAAGACGCUUAGCUACUGUGUGACUAUUUGUGGUUACCAUUAGGUACAUGACUGCGCUACGUCUGAGCUGAGGGAAUUGGACAUGAUUGAUCACUGUAAACAUAACGCGACACUGUAGAUAUUUGAUAAUAAAAUGGACCAUGUAAAGACAAAAGACCGAUUUGGCCUCUGGUGGUUUUUACACAUCGACUGACUAGGGGAGGACAAAAUAAUAUGAACACCUAACAAUGUAAUGCGAGCCAACACACCACCACCAAACUCUGAAGCAUCGAAAAAUGCCAGUUCUUGAACUUAAGUGAUAAAGCCGUGUAUUGAACUGCAUUAAGCUUGCAGGUGUCCAUGCCGUCUUCACCCCCUGCUGAUGAGGUAAUGGCUGAGGUACGACUACCGCUAAUCCGAUGAAAGGAUGAGCAGCAGAAGAGUCCGAUACAUGUAAUUCAUGUCUGUGCUAGAAUAGUCGUCGUUGGUUACUGAAUCUCAUUACUGCAAAAACUCAAAAAAGGCAAUAUGGUCUAUGGGUUGUGCUCAAACCACCAAACCAGAGUGCGCUCCAGGUGCACACAUACUUCUCAGCUGACGGGAGAACAGAUGUAACCUGUGGGGAUCCCGUCAAGACAACACAAUACAGGGAUGCGCGCACAAAAAAAAAAAAAGCAUCUGGAUUACAGUUCUUCAGCUGUCCAAAACCACAGAAGGCAGGGGACGGGGGGAGAGUGGGUGAGGAAGUGGAAGUUAUAGGGGAGGAGGUUGCAGCGAGCUUUUGGCUUGUCAGUACGGUGCGACUGUGAAUUCAGAGCAAGUUUUUGUCUUUGUUUUACAAAAAAAAAAAAAGAUGCAUGGCUGCAUUCACCAAAGCACGGGAAGCCCAGAGACUCGCAAGCACCCCGAAGAAGCCUUUAGUGAGGAAUUGGGAGAGUGGGGGGGGUGGGGGGGUAUGCGGUGGCUGGAGGAAAGUAAAAUUGGAGCACCAGGCGCCCUGAUCAUGGAGGCCGGGAAGGAUUCUGUGCCAUCUACUAACCCUAAAGCUGCUUUCUUUUUAGGGAAAUUAUGAUUUGAAAAAUGUCUUGAAACUGCAUUAUUUUUCUUGCCUACAUGUUCAGUAAUUUAAAAAGGAAGCAUACACUGUUUUGGUUGAAUUCUACACUUUUGCAAACAAAGAUUUCAGUGUAUCCAAGUAAGUGACACUUCAGAGGCAAAGCUGCACUAUCGGGAUAUACGAUAGACAAUAAAAUGUCCAGUGUUAAGUUUUUUUUUUAAAUAAGAUUCUGGCUAUCUAUUAUGACAAUUAACAAAAGGGUCCUCCAAGAUCAGGAAGGUGAGGUUAGGGAGCAGCUUUGAACAAGAGGAUCCUGCCACUACCAACUCACCUUUUAAUCAACUCAUCUAUUCACUCCUCUCCUUCUUCUUCCCUUUCCUUCCUUCCUGUCCUUUGUUAGGCAACGCCCUCUUUGUCUCGACUCCGUCUGGCAGCUGUCAGAGCAAACGCCGGAGACAACACGUUUUUGACAUACUGAACGUGUGGGAUCGUGUGCGUGCGUGUAUGUAUGUGUGAGAGGCUCUCUGUCUCAGCACAAUCUUGACAGAGUUUCCAGUCUGUUUGGAGAGAGGGUGACCGCCUCGACCCAGGUCGUCCUCCCCCGAAUCCACCACCAGCGAUCUGCCAAUCACAUCCCAUACCUGCAGCGUGGGGGUCAAGCUGACUGUCCUCUAGUCGAAAUGAGGCUCUGCCGUCUGGUCCGGCAACAAUAUUCCCCAGAUCACCUACGUGCUGUAACGACGACAUUACUGCACGUGAGAAGAAUAACACAUAAUCUCCACAUAACACAGGACUAGGAGCCUUUGGAGGAACGUCUACCUCAGGGACCAGCAUCUAAAUUAAGUUUUCCUGAAAUUAUUUUCCCUCCAACAGGGGAAGCACUCUGUCACAAAUUUUAAUCUGCAGCCGCAAACCUUGGACUAAAAGUUCUGGACACUUGUUACUGAAAUAUGGCUUUGGACUGUCAUGUUGGGGAUCGAUGAGAACUGGACAGCGAGGAAAAAUACUUUCAGGACCAGAGGCUUCGCCUGCUUUAUGUAAUAUAUCAUUUUGGAUCUUGUAGCAGUGCCCAGGUGGUCCAAUUUGAAAUGCUGUAAACAGCACCGCACCUGGAGCUCAAACAAAAUAAAUCCCUGUCAUAAAUUGUA